UACGAAGGGGGCUAGCGUUGCUCGGAAUUACUGGGCGUAAAGCGUGCGCAGGCGGUUUUGUAAGUCUGUCGUGAAAUCCCCGGGCUCAACCUGGGAAUUGCGAUGGAGACUGCAAGGCUGGAGUGCGGCAGAGGAGACUGGAAUUCCUGGUGUAGCAGUGAAAUGCGUAGAUAUCAGGAGGAAUACCGAUGGCGAAGGCAGGUCUCUGGGCUGACACUGACGCUCAUGCACGAAAGCGUGGGGAGCAAACAGG
rnacentral:rRNA from 1 species